rnacentral:tRNA from 2 species
GCCACAGUUCAACGGUGGAACGGGGCCUUUUCAAGGCUCCGAUCGGGGUUCGAUUCCGCGUGUCGGCG